UACGUAGGUGGCAAGCGUUGUCCGGAAUUACUGGGCGUAAAGCGCACGUAGGCGGCUUGGUAAGUUAGAGGUGAAAGCCUGGAGCUCAACUCCAGAAUUGCCUUUAAGACUGCCGAGCUAGCAGGUGAGAGAGGUGAGUGGAAUUCCGAGUGUAGAGGUGAAAUUCGUAGAUAUUCGGAAGAACACCAGUGGCGAAGGCGACUGACUGGACAAGUAUUGACGCUGAGGUGCGAAAGCGUGGGGAGCAAACAGG
rnacentral:rRNA from 1 species